CCGGGAGAGACAGCACGGAGAGGAGAGGAACUGGGAGGAUGAGGAGGACAGGGUGGUGAGAGAGGAAGCGGAGGGAAGCACUGCAGUAAUCUCUAUUGAUUCAACCUGAGUUUCAGUAGCCCAGCCUCCCCAGUCUCCUCAGUGCCACCAGUGUUUCAUGACCUUUCAGGAUGCAGAGACAGAAGAGAGGUAUUUACGCUUCAAGCACCCAGUGAAGUAUGAGAGACAUCUCAGAGGUCGCACAGUGUUUGCCUGCUGUGUCUGCGACCGAACAUUCCCCUCCUCCCGCCUGCUCUCAGCUCACCAACGCACCCACAGCAAGUGGAAUCUGCCCCCUACUGGACCAGAAGACUCUCUCCAAGAAAGAACAGAUGGAGGAGAGGCUGAGGGGUCAGCCAUAGUAGUACGGCACCCCUGGAGAAAAUAGGGGUCAACUGUCUUGCUCAAGGACACAUCGACAGAUCUUUCACCGUGUCGGCAUGUUAUUUCAGGUAUAGACAAUGAAAAAAACAGAGCUGGUCCAAUGAGCUGUGAGCACUGUCAUAUCAUCUUCAAUGACCCUCGAACCUGGGAACGUCACAUGACGGCCAAGCACCCCCCAUCCCUGUCGACACCUACUUCACCAGGGAAUGCCUACCUGACUUCUAGACCUGCCAGGGGUCAACUACGACCCUAUCGCUGCUCCUCCUGUGGAGAGAGAUUCAUACAGGAAAGCACCCUGACCAAACACUGCACCGAGGCACACGCCAGCUGAGAGAGGAUGGUUCUGGGAGCAUAGAUACCAAGAUGAAGAGGACAAGAGGUAAGUUGGAGUGAUCUAUAUAUAUGAUUGUUUUCCAGGAGUGCCUUGACUAACUAUUUAUAAAGUUGUUUAACGAAGAAAUUACAUGUCACUUAUGAGAUUUAUCCUAUAAUUUCAUUGUAGGUCUUAGUGUCAACCCUUAUGCCAACUUUCUCCAACAAGAAACAGAAUCUUCACUAAAUCUAUUUUGAAUUAAUAUCUCUUUUAGGGCUGUGACAAUACCAGUAUUGCAAUAUUUUUUUCCAUGCCAAAAAUGAAAACGCGAGGCAGACUUUACUCUUUGUUCCUUUUUAUUUUCCAAGCUAUAGCUUUGAAAAUAAAUAAGUGAUUCUGGAUGAAAACAUAACGAUGUUUGUUUCCAACUUCAAGGCUGUUUCCCCAAAGAAGUUAAAUCCACUUUGUGUUUUGUUUCGUUGCCACAAUACUGGUAUCGUCCCGGCUCUAACAACUUGAA